rnacentral:rRNA from 1 species
CGUAGGUGGUCUAAUAAGUCAGUGGUGAAAUCUCUUUGCUUAACAAGGAAAUUGCCAUUGAAACUGUUAGACUUGAGAAUGGACGAGGUAGGCGGAAUUCGUAGUGUAGCGGUGAAAUGCAUAGAUAUUACGAAGAACUCCAAUAGUGUAGACUGCUUACCAGACCAUAUCUGACACUAAGGCACGAAAGUGUGGGUAUCAAACAGGAUUAGAUACCCUGGUAGUCCACACAGUAAACGAUGAAUACUAACUGUUUGCGAUAUACAGCAAGUGGUCGAGCGAAAGCGUUAAGUAUUCCACCUGGGAAGUAUGCCGGCAACGGUGAAACUCAAAGGAAUUGACGGGGGCCCGCACAAGCGGAGGAACAUGUGGUUUAAUUCGAUAAUACGCGAGGAACCUUACCCGGGCUCGAACGAUAUUUGAAUACAUCCGAAAAGAUGUAGCUAGCAAUAGCAAAUACCGAGGUGCUGCAUGGUUGUCGUCAGCUCGUGCCGUGAGGUGUCGACUUAAGUGUCAUAACGAGCGCAACCCUUACCGAUAGUUACCAUCAGAUAAUGCUGGGGACUCUAUUGGGACUGCCACCGUAAGGUGUGAGGAAGGAGAGGAUGACGUCAAAUCAGCACGGCCCUUAUGUCCGGGGCGACACACGUGUUACAAUGGGAGAAACAAAGGGUCGCUACCUGGCAACAGGAUGCUAAUCUCGAAAAUCUCUCUCAGUUCGGAUUGGAGUCUGCAACUCGACUCCAUGAAGCUGGAUUCGCUAGUAAUCGCACAUCAGCCAUGGUGCGGUGAAUACGUUCCCGGGCCUUGUACACACCGCCCGUCAAGCCAUGGAAGCUGGAAGUACCUGAAGUAUGUAACUGAAAAGAGCGUCCU